CAGCAUGGAUAUAGAGAUGGUCGUCUUGAGGAGGUAGUUCUGCGACAUCUUAGAGCUGCAGAUGGCGAUACAGUGAUUGCCAAAGAUAUCAACUAAUUGGUAGAAGUCAUAAAUUAGCUACAGAAGUAAUAAGUGCCAAGCUUGUGGACCUUGCUCUUGAAUUUGGAAAAAUUUAUGAAGGAGAAGGCUUCAAGUACAUACAGAAAAGUUUUGCCAAUGGCACAUUGCAUCUCAUUGGGUUAUUGAGUGAUGGUGAAGUCCAUUCCCGACUUGAUCAGUUGUAGGUUCGGUUACACAAACUCUACAUGCCAGGCUUACACAAAGACUCUGAAUUAUCCAAACUAGUACAGUAGUACCACCGUUAUCCAGUGAUGAACCAAGUAGAUAAGCCACCCCCACCACUCAUUUAUUAAUAUCUUAUCAACAGAAAUAUGAAAAUUUUUUUAAAGGAAAAUUCUUCAAUAAAUUUAACUAAAUAUUCAUUGAUUGCAGUGAAUAUCACUGGAAAUGCUAUUUAUGAUCCCAUAGGCUCAAUCGUAGUUGGCAACUUACUUGGCAUGGUAAAGAGGCUCAGUAGGCAGUAAUUUCUCUACCAUCUGAUGUAAGAGACACAAAUCUGAAAUUUAUUUUCACAUGAUUUUAUGCUGAAUUGACCAUGCAGGUAGCCAUAUUUCUUAUCCAGAGAAAUCGACAUGCUUUAAUUGACAGAGCUAUGGAUGACCAUGUAAAUUUAUUGCUCGCAUCUCGUAUUGGUUAACAUAAGAUGUGAGACUUAAAGAAGAUCUAAACGUAGCCUUAAGUUAGUUAGAAGCUUGCUGACUUGGCAUGGGAUGUUAUACAUUUAGUUGUAUGAUAGCCAUGUUCCUUCAGCACUAAUAUCUUCUCUUUUCCUUCUGUUUUGCUUUUUAAUUUUGAAAUAUACAGGGUGAUUACAUCAAAGAAGGCCAACUAAUAGGGUAUCUGGAUCAGUUUGGCACUUCACUUCCUGUUAAGGUGAUUUUUCUUAGCCUCUUUAAUUGUGAGUAAUUUUGAAAUGUCUACUUCCUACUGACCAUUUUUCUUUUUAUCUUUUUUUGGGUUAAAUUUAAUUGUGAGUAAUCACUAAGCCUCACAAGUUCCACUACAUUAGAGCUCAAGCUUCAGGUUCAACAAAAAUUGAGGGGAUUCCUGAGAAAACAGAUUUCAAGGAUGAUAACUUAGUAUAUUUUGCUGGUGCUACUGGUAGAGUUGGUUCAAGAACUGUUAGAGAGCUUAUAAAACUUGGAUUUAAAGUAAGAGCUGGAGUGAGGAGUGCUGAGAGAGCUGGUCCACUAAUCAAGAGUGUUGAGCAAAUGAAGCUUGAUGAUGGAACAAGUGGAGGGAGUCAAGAAGACACUUUAUUUGGGGGUCAAGUAUCAAACCAUCAGGUGGCAGAACUUAUGGCAGUCAUGGCCAAGAACCCUGAUCUUGCAUAUUGUAAAAUAGUGGAGGUAGUAGCAGAGACAACUACACUGCUGGCUCCCACGAAGGAGCUUCUUGCAAAGAUAUCAUCUCAAAGACCUUAUAUUUCUUCACCAAAGAAACCGGGUGUUGCAGCCGUUAGUAAUCCAACUCCCUC